rnacentral:lncRNA from 1 species
CAAAGGUUAAAGUUGGAGCCAUUCUAAUCAAUUCAUAUCCCAACUCCUGGACGGCCGAAUCCAUUUUUAAAAGGAAGGCCUUUUGGGCCUUCGUUAGUCACUAGGCCAAUUACAAAAAGGGAUAGACCAAUUUCAUUUAAACAUACUGGAAAUACUUAACAACUCGAGUAUAUGGAUGAAUUAGCCAUUGGAAUAUGAAAUCUGUUAAUUACAUGAAAGCUAUGACACUAAUAAAUUGUAUAUUUCUGCAAUUAAAAUACUACACUGAUUUAUAUUCCUUGACUUUAAAUAUAGUACAUUCAAAACAAAUUUUAGUAAAACUUCCUUUGGUACAGAUUUGUUCAGCAUUAGCAAUCAAUCGUAGGGAUGAUAGAUAAAUAUAAUGCAAUGCCAUCUCUUUCCUACCAAUUUUUAAAAGGGAAUCAAUGCUUGGGCUAUGUUGAGAAGUGGAUUCAUAAGCAAAAUAUCAUUUUUAGGCUGGGAGUAUACUGCACUCAGAUUGAACACGCUACCUUGAUGCCACAAUAAGCACAACAUCAAACUACUUAGCAUACUUAAACAUUCAUUAAAGUGAAUUAAGAUACACCACUAAUUAUGACAAUAUGACUACAAAAAAUCUUUUCCUUACUUUUGCUCAACUUAAAAAAAAACUAUUGCAUCACAAGGCAAAUUUGACCUCUUAAAGUUGAACACACUACAUGUGCGCACAAAUCAGCGUCACAUAAGAAAGAAAACUAAGUCAAUCUAAACCAAACAAAAUGCCCAAUUCAGUGUUAACAAUCCCCUCAUAAAACUUUAAAAAAACUUUCCUGGAUCUAUAGAGGAAACGAAAGAAGCUAAGACUAAUACAAACAUCAAGAGAUCUGAUUCUGACCCAGAUCAUAAAAAAAAUAGAGCCGAAGAAGAAGCAAAAGUAGGAACUAAAAAAAACUUCAGCAAUUAAACUAACCAACAAUAGCGAUCAAACAAAGGUAACAGGACAGCUGACAUAUGAACAAUUUCCAUCAGUUCUUAUUCCCAAACUAAUCUGCAGGUUCAUGUCAUUUAAUUAAUGAGCUGUACCUGGACAACAAAAAAUGGCAACCAAAAUGCCAAAUAAACUAAAGGAAAAUGUGAAGAGAGUUCCAGCAAAUCAACUAGCCAACUCCCAAAUGCAACAGAAAUUCGAAUGGAAAUUCACAACUCCAAAGCUCCGAACCCCAGCGACAAAACCCGACUUAUACUUCAAAUCAAAAACAUUCUUGAAAAUCAGAGAUCAAAGAAAAAUGCUGAGAUUUAUAAUUUUUGAUUCCUUUCGAAAUAAAAUAAUACUUGAAUCGAAAAUCAAAACUCAGACUAUAACUUUUUUAUUUUUUUUUGAAAAGACGCAGACUGAAAUUUAAAAGAAAAGGCUUGAAGAAAUGAAAAACUCCAAGAACCCUAGAAUUUUACUCCCUAAUUUUCUGAAAAUUUCUUUUUUCCUCUAACAAGAAAAGAACUCACCUUAUAUAUAAACCUCAAAAUAUCUCGAAGCUUCUGCCUAGAAUCCGAAAAUCUUCAGAUUUCUGAACAAUUUUGGGACAAAUGGAGGGCGUGGAUUGAUUCACAUCUAUCCACGGCUCCCAUUCGCCCAACAAUUGUCCUUUUGAAUCCGAAAUCGUGCAAUUUUGAGAGAAUAUCGUACUCCUCUGACAAAUCUGUUGAGGAUAAGGUGCCAUGGAGGGGGAGACCAAUGAAUGAACUCGCUCAAAACUCAAACGAGUUGAGGCGAGUUGAGGAGAAGAAGAAGAAUAGUAGAGGGGACACCGUCUCUGAUUUUCUAGGUUUAGGGUUCAAAUGGGGGAAAGAAUUAUAAGGAGGCUUUUAUAUUUAAGAAGGAAACGGGUCGAACCGGCGGGUUGGUUCAUUUUUGCUGGGCUGAACCCGGUUUAAUUGGACUGGGGUGGUAAGGGAGGAGGGU